GUUUAGGGAAAAAGACACUCACACAUUCUCUUGAUUAUUUUCUUCUUUAUUCUCUAUUCUUCUGUGUUCUUUCUGUAUUUUUUAUUGUUGGUUGAAGAAAAAAAGACACUCCAAGAUGAAAUAUUAAGGUCUAUGUUACAGCAGGAAGGUCUAGCCUCUUCUGAUGGAAUGAACUAGACUGGACUGGACCCCAAACAGCUGUACAAAGAUGCUUUUAUUGAUUGUUACCCAAAGUAUGUACUCAUACCAAGGUCCUUAAUCUUAAUUUACUUGUUAUAUUGAAGUGGGGCUUCAUACAAUUAUAUGACUCUAGUCCUUUAUUAUGUGUUGUGUGCAAUACAUAAUAUUACAAGAGUCUCAAGUAUGCUUGAGGUGUCUAGUGACCAAAGUUAUGGGACAGCUGUGAAGCUCUUUCUGCAAAACAAUCACUGUUCUCCAUAAGGAUUCUUCAAGGUCAAUGUACUUCUAAAAAUCAGCUGAUCAUUCUAAUAUCUACCCCAUACAGUCUUAAAGGAAUCACAAACCUAAACUUUUAUACAUUAAAAAAAAUCAGUCAGCUGUACUUUAGAUUCUUAGGGUGCAUACCCACUCAUCAGUAGUUUUUUAUAUCAAGAGAUUGAGUGCAGGAAUGGGUACAAGGAAUUAAUCAUCACCCUUGAUCAUCAACCAACCCUAGCAAGAAAAUACAUCAGCCAGUAACUGUUGAGCUACUUUGUAUUUUUUGACCUCAGCUAUUUGUCCUUAUGAACUUCUGAUUGGUUUCUGGAGUUUUUCAUCUUAAGGCUAUUAUCAAAUCAUCUUAUUUAACCUGAAGUUAUGAUAAGGCUUUGUUUCAGCUUAUGAUGCACACCAAAACUGUGACUACAUCUUUCAGCAUUGAGAUUAAAGAAAUUUGAGCCAGCCUUGAACUUCAUUUGCCACCUGCUGCUCCUCUAACAUGGCCACAGCACAGAUAUUUCUGUCUCAACCUGACUUCGUGGGACCAUUUACAAACUACUUACAAGUGAGAACAGCAGAUAAUUUUUAAUGGCUCUUUCAAUACAAAAACUACAGUAUCUUCAUACAUGUUGAAAGACCACUGGGAGUUUCCUCCUUUCCUAGUAAUGGAACUUAGAUCUCAUGUCUGGCAUAGUCAGAAGGAUUCAACUGCCCUACCUCACUGGGAGUAUCUCUUCAGAUUCUGUUGGACAUUCUUCUGAGAGAGGAGCAAAGUGGCUGCUUGGAAAAUUAACUGGCUCUUUUAACUGCAGAGAAAACUGGUCUUGAGGACAUUUUGAGGAGUAUAUUUAGAGUUUGGAGCAGCUGAACCCUACACCUCUAAGAGGCGGAAGAUAGCAUUUUGAUGGCAUCACAGUAUACAGAGAGAUUGGGCUCCAUCAAAACCACCCCACUUAAAGGCGGUGCCUGCAAGACACAACCAUAGAACUGUAAAGAACACCUGCUAAUGACCUCUAUGAUGGUUGUAGUACAUACAGUAUGUGGUAUUGAUAGACAAGCUGGAAUGGCCAAUUGUAUCAAGAAUUAAUCUGUGGGAUACAACUUUCUUCUAGCAGAAAACGAAAAGAGAAAUGAACACACCAAAAAUACAUAAACAAUUGCACAUGGAUCGAUAUACAUUUAUAUGACUUAGUCUCCAUAUAUAUUCAAGAUAACUCCCUACAGACAUGUCCAUAGGCCACAGUUAUCUAAAUAUUCAUUCACUAAGACUCUCUUCUCAGAUUAUUCUAGGUAGUGUAAAGUUGACAGCUAAAACAAUUGAGUGCAUAACUGCUUACUUCUGAUUUCUGUUGAUUUACUUAAAUCACAUGCCAAACAUUAGGGGUCAUUACAUUUAUAUAUUGGUACUCAUUAAGUCUUCUACAUAAGUAGCUCCUGAGUUCCAAUGUUCAUCUUAUUUUAAAGAUAGUAUUGUAGGAAUAACAAUAUAGUAUUUAUGAGAAAAUGGACAGUAGUUCUGACUGAUACUUCUCAGCCAUGUGGACAUAGAAUUUAUCAUUUAUCUUUAGGUUUCAUUUGUAUCAUGAUAAUAACCUGUUCAUGAACUUAAAUGUCUUCCAAGGAGAAGCAAAUGAACUAGUAUAUGUAAAAAUAUUCUGAAAAACAUCUCUUUUUAUACAUAAAUAAAGUAUAAAGAUGUUUGUAUUUUUAUAGUAUAAUGGUUGGAAUUUUUUAUAAAAAUAAAAGUUGAAGAAAGACAUUCAAAAUAGA